CUCAAAUGCAGAUUACUUGACUCCACCUCCUGAACCAGACUCUGCAGGCAGUGCUCUCGGAAUCUCCAGCUUCCCAAGCUUCCAGGUGAUUUUAUGAUGCUGAAGUUUGAGAACCAUGGAGGGCUAGGAAAAAGCCACCAGAUGGAGGAAAUUCACACAAAGUUUUGAGAGGCUAGUAACAGCGACUUUAAAAAGAGGAUGAUGAGGGCCGGCCUGGUGGCACAGGGGUUGAGUGCACCCGUUCCGCUUCGGCGGCCCAGGGUUGGCUGCUUCGGAUCCUGGGUACAAACACGGCACUGCUCAGCAAGCCAUGCUGCGGGAUCAAGUAUUACAGACAAGGUUGACUGGGCUGAGUGAGUCACCGUGAAUCCAGAUUCCCAGGCAACCUCCAAAUCAACAUACAGAUCAGGGCCAAGGCCCGAACCUAAAGGGUAAUAAGUUGGCAUUUUCCAAAGUCUGAAGUUCUGAGUAUUUUUCUAGACGCUGCCUCAGGGCUUCUGUGGCAGCAGCGCCACCCGGCCCCCGCCUCGCCCCGCCAGGCAGCGGUGUCAGCACUUUCAGGUGAACGGCCCUCCUUGCUUUCUGACCCCGUGCCAGCCCUUGAGGAAAUUCGGCCUCCCAGGGGGGUGGUCUCAGGACCCCAGGCUCCUCCCAGUCAAUUCUGCCUCUUCUUCCUUCCAGAGGUUGUCUGCCGGGGACACUGACAGUAACCGUGUGGUCAGGAGGUAAGAGUACAGCGGGAACCAGAGGGUAAUUUAUUUUCAAAUAACUGGUGCAGUAAAAAGGGAGCCUUAAAGAUACUUCAGUUUAGCACACUCUGUGCUCGAAUUGGAGAAAGAGAGAAGUCCCUUUAUGAUGCUGUGUAUUACCAAAUGGAAUUCCAAAUACUCACGUGGUCAAGCGACAGACGCUCUCCGUGAAGGUUCCCUGACUGCAGGGAGCAGACAGCACCACAGACACUUGUAGCUCCGAGGCCUUCAUCCACGCAGAAGAAAAGCUGUCCCUCUGGGGCUGGGGAGGAGGGCUAACUUAAUAGGAUGUACAUUUACCCCACAGGACGGAGGUCACUAAGGGUGUGCUCCAGAUCGAAGCCACUCUGCGGCCAGGUUCUCGUGGCUCAUUCUCGGUCUCCAGAGAGAAGAGGGGCGAGUCAUCCAGUGUCAUUUGGGGACUGAGCUAAAGGGGCUGUUCUGUCUCUGGCUCGUCCUUUUGUUAUGGUUUGGACUCACAGUAGUAACAACUGUAGCUAACAUCUGUCAACCUCGUAUCAGCCCUGCCCUGGGGUCUCCCCCGGGUCACUCGUUUCUGCUCACAGUAACCUGUGGAGCAGGUGCUGCUGUUGCUUCAUUUCGUAAGCAGCACAGAGGUGCUCAGGUGUUCUGGCCGUCCUUUGUUGCAUGACGUAUUAUCUCAGAACUUAGUGACUGAAAACAGCAACAGUUCCGUUACUGCCGCCUCUUGUGGCUCGCGAGGCUGGCUGGGCUCAGCCGGGCACUGCUCGCCGAGCGACUCCAGCUCGGGUCUCCCGCAUUGCCCUCAGAUGGCGGCUGUGCCUGGGAUCACCUUGAGUGUUUCCUCACUCAUGUGUCUGUUGGUGGGGACCCCCGGUGGGACUGUCACCCAGAACUCCACACACGACCUCUCCUUGUGGCCUGGACCUCCCUGGAGCAUCACAGCUGGGGCCAAGAGGAGAGGUGAAGGCUGUGUUGCCUUUUUUUUAAAAAACAAAGCAAAUUUUGUUUGUUUUUAUUUUUGAGUUAAUUACUUGACUAACAGGAUAUUGCAAAUAUAGUAACAGAGUCCCAUGAACCUUCACAUAGCAUCCGCCAUCGAUGAGAUCUUCCAUAACUGUGGACCAGAAUCAGCACCAGGAAACUGACAUCUGCACAACACUGUUAACUAGACUAUGAACUUAUUCCUUUUUACCAGUUUUUACAUGCACCCAUUUGUGUGUUCUGUGCAAUUUGAUUCCAUGUUAAGAAGCAUGUAAUCACCACACAAUCAACAUAUAAAACUUCCAUCAAGGGACUCUCCUAUGCUGUCCCUUUACAGGAGCACCCACCCUACUCUGUCCCCUGGUGACCACUCCCCUGUUCUCCAUCUUUACAGUUUUACCAUUUCAAGAAUCCCAUAUAAAUGGAAUCAUAUGUACGUAACCUUCUGAGACUGGCUCUUUUGCACUAAUGCCCUUUAGAUCAUCCAACUGUGUACAUAUCAAUAGUUUGUUUUUGGUUGCUGAGUAAUAGUCCAUGUAUGCGGGACACCUAGUCAGUGUCAACUGAGAAUUGGAGAAUCUCUUGGUGGUGUAGAAAAAAAUACAUCAUGGAGUUGUGUUCACCAAUGCUCAACUACCAUCCUUGGAAGCCCUGCCACUCAACUUAUUUCCGUUAUUCCAUAAACAUUCAAGUGCCCACCAUGAGCCAAGAACUUUUCUAUGCACUAGAGCGACAAGAGCAUUCACACUCCCCCCGCGGAGCUCACAGCCUGCAGAAGGAGCCAGCUGGGAAGCAGAAGACACAGCAUGGCGUCAUAAACCUAUGACAGAGCCUGUCCUGGUGGCACUGUGGGAAGCAUGACCCGGAUGCGGGGCAGGCAAAUGGCUCUCAGGGACGCUUCCCAAAGGCUUUGUGAUACAGAUGCUAUUAAGAUCUUCCUAUCGCAGACGGGAAAGUGAGGCACAGAGAGGUCACAUGGCUCCAAGUGACCAAGGCAGGCUCUGAACUCUGAGGUGCAUCUCUGAAGCCCUACGCUGCACUCCCUGUAUACAGCCAAGGUUUGGGGGAUUGAUAAAAUCUACUUUUUCUCUUUGCCCAAAUUUGGGACCAUUGAGAGAUGGACACAGAGACCAAGCUAAGAAAAUGUUAAUUUGAUUACUGAUAAAGCUGGAC
rnacentral:lncRNA from 1 species